GAUGAACGCUGGCGGCGUGCCUAAUACGUGCAAGUCGAGCGAAUGGAUUAAGAGCUUGCUCUUAUGAAGUUAGCGGCGGACGGGUGAGUAACACGUGGGUAACCUGCCCAUAAGACUAGGAUAACUCCGGGAAACCGGGGCUAAUACCGGAUAACAUUUUGAACCGCAUGGUUCGAAAUUGAAAGGCGGCUUCGGCUGUCACUUAUGGAUGGACCCGCGUCGCAUUAGCUAGUUGGUGAGGUAACGGCUCACCAAGGCAACGAUGCGUAGCCGACCUGAGAGGGUGAUCGGCCACACUGGGACUGAGACACGGCCCAGACUCCUACGGGAGGCAGCAGUAGGGAAUCUUCCGCAAUGGACGAAAGUCUGACGGAGCAACGCCGCGUGAGUGAUGAAGGCUUUCGGGUCGUAAAACUCUGUUGUUAGGGAAGAACAAGUGCUAGUUGAAUAAGCUGGCACCUUGACGGUACCUAACCAGAAAGCCACGGCUAACUACGUGCCAGCAGCCGCCGUAA
rnacentral:rRNA from 1 species